rnacentral:rRNA from 1 species
GACGAACGCUGGCGGCGUGCCUAAUACAUGCAAGUCGAACGCAGUGGGGACGGGUGAGUAACACGGGGGUAACCUCCCAGCAGAGGGGGUACCACUUGGAAACAGGUGCUAAACCGGUACAGAUGGAUGGAGCGGCGUUGUAUUAGCUAGUUGGUGAGGGAAAGGCUCACCAAGGCGACGAUGCGUAGCCGGCCUUAUAGGGUGAUCGGCCACACUGGAACUGAGACACGGCCCAGACUCCUACGGGAGGCAGCAGUAGGGAAUCUUCGGCAAUGGACGAAAGUCUGACCCAGCCACGCCGCGUGUGUGAAGAAGGUUUUCGGAUCGUAAAGCUCUUUUGUUAGAGAAGCGGUAUCUACCCAGUAAGCCACGGCUAACUACGUGCCAGCCGCCGCGGUAAUUC